rnacentral:lncRNA from 1 species
AUGGGGUGGGGGGCUCUGGGCGGGAGAAGAUGGACGGAGGGCGAGAGGGAAGCCGGAGAGAAGAGCGCGCGGGGAGGAAGGGGCGCGCCGAGGGGGAGUGGGCGGGAGUUGCGCGAUGCACGGAGGAAUCCCGGGAAGUUGGGCCGGGCUGGGGGCUGCGGACAGUCGCUCUGGGGGGGCGCCCCUCCGCAGUCGCCGUUCCGGAAGUUGGGAAAGACCGGCGAGCCCCGGGAAACUGGGGGCUGGGAGGUGAGAGAGGCGGAGAAGGCGGGACACGCGGGCGGGAGGAGUCGGGUGGUGAGAGGCCGCCCCCUUCCCCACUGGGAGAACUGCAUUGCCCCCCGCGGGGGUCGGCGGGCGCGGGUCUCGAGGUCAGCGUUGCGGGCUCCGGGAGUGGCAAGGACCCGAGGAGGAGCGGGUGCUCCCUCCUGCCCUCGCCCUUCUGGCCCUCAGCUUGGGGGUUCACCAGGCCUAGUCCGGAGACCUCGGCCAUGCUCCGGGCAUGGCCGGGUGGGGAUCCGGAGCGGCCCAGGCUGCAGGGCCGGGCUCCGGCGGCGGAUCCGAGGCUGCAAACGCAGGGUCUGUCGAAGCAGGGUUAUGCGCGCAAAAAGCCAGCCGGAGGGCGCCCUGGAGGAGCUGUCCGCGGUUCUAGAAGGGCCUCCAAGAACAGCUUCUUCUGGGACCUUCGUCCCCGCUGGAUCAGAACGCGAGGGGCGUAGGAGGCAGUCCCUCCCCCUGCCCCCACAGGAAGAGGAAGCGCGGGAGAUGGGAGGGAAGAGAGCAGGGGCCGAGCCCCGCGCGCUGGGAGGGGAGCGUCGCGGCCAUCGCCGCUGCCAGCCAGCCAAGGCCCCGGGCCUGAGCAGUCCUCCUUGGCGCAGGACAGCCUGCUUGGUUCGGCUCCACUCAGCAGGGGAUGCACAUGGCAGAAAGGAGGCACACUGCAUUCUGGAGUCGGGGUGGGGAUACUGCCCUCUCCGGGAACUCUCAGACUCCUGGGAUGGGACUUACUAG